AGACAUGGACGACGGAGGUCAAAGUGUAGUAUUGGUUCAUAUCAGCUUAAUAUCUGAUGCGGGUUGUAUUUGGACCCAAGAUAUGAAACUUUUUUUUUUCAAGUUGGCGGAGGGCUCGAAGCCUGCUUCACCUCCACCGCGGGUCGGCCCGGUAUCGCACUAUAUUCGGCAUCGUCCCAAGGGGA